AAAUUUAGAGAAAACCGGUGUGGCUGCUGAUAGCCUAAACCCUAAAACCCCACCGCUGUUCGCGUCCUCGUUUCUCUCAAUCUCUCUCCUCUCCUCGCCUCUCCUUGGUGUCCGUGUUCACGCCGUCGCUAGCGCCUGCCGCGGCGAAGCUUCUGCCCUCCCCGGCGCCGGGCUCGGGUCGUCGUCGGCCAGGCAGCUGCUACGCGUGAACACGGUCACACCAGUACCACGUGACGUGAACGGUGAACUCGUGAAGAACAGAGCCGCCACUGAGGAACCCUAGCGACGGCGGCGUGCUACCGGUGACAUUGUCCCCCUCGGUCCCUCCUCCAUCCCCGACGCAGCGGCGCCAGCCUGCAGGAAGCCUAUUCGAGACAAGGUCGAUCUUUGCUGCCUUGGCGAGCUUCAGCCGAAUCAAGGUCGAGCAUGGCGGCAGGCCAGUAAAUAGAGCAACACAAAACCCUUCAAAUCAAUGGAGACCUCUGCAGCAACCCCGACCCGGCCGCCACACCAGGCGGCCACUUCCCCAUCGCCAUCGCCCUCGUCGUCGUUGAGGCUGUGGAGGCCAGCGGCGCAGCGCAACAUGCGCAAUCAGUGGUCCCAUCUGAGCGCCGCCAAGGAGCAGUGGCUGGCCGCCGUUGCUGACGGUCGUGCCCACGCCUCCGCGCUCGUCAACGUCCACCUCUCCUGCAGGAACAUGCCGGCGAUGGAUUUGGGGGUGCUCAAGGAUAUGCCGGGGAUCCGCGAUAAGGCGAACUCCAAGUUGGCGCUUAGAGAGGAGCAAUACAGCGGCAUGCUUCUGUCGGCCUACAAGGAGAUGGUCUGUCAGCUGUCCUACUUGGUUGAAGCUUCCCAUUCUAUGCGCUGUUUUUCUAAAGCGGCUCCAAAUUGCUCCAUCACACAGUUUUCUGACCGCCAAGAUAAUUUGAAUGAUUCAGGGGAUGGUGGAGGAGCCCCAGUAUUCAAAUGGUUCUCCGUAUUAGAAUUUGAGAGUCUUGCCCAGGAGCUUGUUCAGAUGUUUGUUUCAGAGCAAAAGUUGAAGAGGCUGCUACUCUUGGAAUUUCUCUCGAUUGCUUUAAAGGAAGGUGUAGAACUCCAGACAUCAUUAAAUUGGGGUGAUGAACUAUAUGAUGGUGAAUCAAAUAAACUUCAGAGUAUUGGCCUUCAGUCAGGAGAUGCCUACUCACCGCCUGAAAAUUGGUGUGCAGAACGUUUAGGGAGUCAGAGACCUGGCAAUCUCCCUCUGCAUGAAGUUUUACAGGUUUAUUUAACCACUUGGCAUGCUAAUAUGAACAUCAACCGGAGUAGAAUUGGUGAAAUAUUUGAGCUUGUUGAGGAGGAGAUGAAGAUUAAACUGUCUUGAAGAUUCCGAUUCAUUUUGUUGGGCUAUCCAUCAAGGAAGAAGAAAUGGAAAAGAAAGAUCAAUCAGUUCACUAUUCACCAGGAUUCUAUAUCCAGUGUCUUUAUCUGCCUUAGUAGAAGCCUUCAGAGCUUACCUAUGAUCUUAGAAUAUAGUACUGGUCUCCUUGUGACCCAUAAUUUUUUUAAAAAAUUUAAUGUUGGGUUACACUGGAAUCAUAUUGGGAAGAGCGUUGGACCAACAUAUGUUAUUGAAAUGAGAUUUCUAAGUUAUCAGGAUCAUUCGCCUAGCUUCAGGGUUUAGAUGGGCGUCGAGGCAGCAAUCGAGGCAAGGAGGAGGCGGGGGUGGGGGAUGCUACACCGACCGUGACGUCGCCUACUGUCUUGGACCUUCUGUGCGCCCUCCUUGACACCCUCGACGCUCCACGGAGCUCGGAGGCGGUGACCGUCGAGGAGGUCGGUCCCUCGAGGCGACCCGGGGAACCGGUUGAAAAGUACAUCAUCCCGCCUCCUAUCGUUGGGGCGGGUGGCGACCUCGUUCGUGCCGGAUCGGACCUCUCGACAUGGGGAGGGCCGACCCUGAGGUGGAUGGCCACCGAGGGCAACCCCUACUUCGUCCUUAAUGACACGGAGGAGAGGGAGAUGUGGGCGGAGUUUCGAGCAAUGGCUCAGGGGCUUAUGGCGAAGUCCGUGGCCAAGUCGAUCUCCAUCCGCAGCGAGCGCGACAUAUGGGCCGUGCUGCAGCGCUAUCAGGCCAUGUUGUGUUGCGCAAACGAGUAGCUGACGCUGAAGAGGGCCGAGGCGGCGAACCUAUCGUCGUUGUGUGCUGAGUUGAAAGACGAGGUCGCGACUGAGCGCGAGAAGGUGUCGUCGCUGGAGGAGGAGGUGCGACGCCUGAGAUAAGGCCUUCGGGUGGUGACUGGUGAACGAGACGAGUCUCGGCAUCAAGCCACCGAGGCUUCUCUUCAAGCUGACUCUCACGAAGGACCUGGGGGCCGAGUGGAGUACGGUCCAAGGCCUAAGGGCCUAAAUGGGAGAGCUCGAAAGGGAUUUGGAUGCUGCCAUUCACACCUCUAAAACUCACCCAGGCCGUCGACCAAAAGAUGGUCGAGCUGAAGGACCUGUCCGACGCGGUGGUGGAGUUUGGUCGAGACCUUUGCGUCGCGGACGUUCCCUUGGGUGAGUACUUGCGGAGCCGCAUGCGAGCCCUGAGUGGCUACGUGCGGAGCGAACUCCGUGAGGCCGUCCAUCUUGGGGUGAAGCAAGUGUUGGUCGUAGUCGCCUCCCACUAUGAGAUUAAUCUCGAGCGGGCAUGCGAAGGCUACGUCUUGUUGGACGAGCGCAACCUCGCCGAGGCCGAGAUGCAGAGGCUCACCGAUGUUGUCGAGGGGUCGGGCUCAGUGUAACACCCCGUCCAAUCCCGGACCGGCGGUACUUACUCCUGGCAGCUCUCUAGGAUCAUUUAUCAUCCACACAAACCAACAUGGGUCUUUUGUG